UCACUGUGUUCGCCUACUUGGCUGCGGCGGAGCUCGUGUUUGUCAGCCUUCCUGACCAGGGUACUCAUAAAGUUCGGCUACACACACACACACACACACUUACCGGCUCAGCUGCUGGCGGAAACCGGCAACGGGAAACCGAUGUUCGUCUUCGAAUGAAGAAGACAGAUUACUAGCAGAAGUCUCAGUAGCGUAGAGGAAAAGGUUGAGGGCAGGAAAGCACCCACAACCACUUCUCUCGCCACAUCCACGGCUCGGACGUGAAAGGCGUGCGCGUGUAGUUGCGGGACACGAUUCCUGCAUUCUGCAAGGACACAAGCACACACACACACAGAGAGAGAGAGAAAAGAGCCGAACUGGGUGGUGAGAAAAACGCGCUGUGUCGUCAUCUCCAUUUAGAGCACGGAAUCCACGAGGCAUUCAUAUCUUCUCAUCGAUCCGACCUCUCCCCCUCCCCUACCCCCACCCCGCGAAAAAAAAGGAAUAUACCAUAAUUAAACAG
rnacentral:misc_RNA from 1 species